CGGAACUCUUGAACACACUGAACCCCUCCACAGCAUCUCAUACACCAAAUCCCAAACAAGAUUAUGACAUGUAAACGAAGCUCGCAUCACACAAAAGGUGCGUGUAGGUAAGCCAGAGAUGCAACCAGAAGAGUCCUUAUCCUUGUGCUUUCGCUUCUUCUCCUUCUUGUUCGCCUUCACCUUCAGCAAGGUGUCCGGCGCUGCAUCCGCUAUGCCCUCAAGAUCAUCCGGUUCCUUCUUCGGCUGCUGCAACAAAGAACAAAGAUUCAAGGAUUAAAGUCAAUCCAAACAGGGAAUUGGUUCAUAGACCAGCACAAAAUCGGUUGUAAUGGUUGUCCAAGUAUCUUAUAUUGCCAACUAAAAGGGCUCUUUAGCAGAUGUAUAAUAGUCUAUGUAAAAUAGAGUAGAAAGGCAUCUGUAAACCAAAGAAGAAGGUAGGAACAAUAUGUCAUACCAUAGAAGAGGCUUAGGAACAUCAUGGUCUUGCAUAAUUACCAAAAUUAAAGUUAUGGCUUUUGUUCUGACAACAAAUAGUGAGAAAAUGUCUUCAGCUAGUGAAGGUGAAACAAAGGUAGAGGAAGCUGACGGACAGUGCUUCAGCAACUGCAGUGCUUGUAAUUUAAAGUUUCAGUAAUGAUUGUGAAAGGUCUAAGAAGAGUAAACAGACAAAAAACCAAUAAAUUUCAUUAC
rnacentral:lncRNA from 1 species